rnacentral:rRNA from 1 species
AUUGAACGCUGGCGGAAUGCUUUACACAUGCAAGUCGAACGGCAGCACGGACUUCGGUCUGGUGGCGAGUGGCGAACGGGUGAGUAAUGUAUCGGAACGUGCCCAGUCGUGGGGGAUAACGUAGUGAAAAUUACGCUAAUACCGCAUACGAUCUAUGGAUGAAAGCGGGGGGUCGCAAGACCUCGCGCGAUUGGCGCGGCCGAUAUCAGAUUAGGUGGUGGGUGGGGUAAAGGCCCACCAAGCCAACGAUCUGUAGCUGGUCUGAGAGGACGACCAGCCACACUGGAACUGAGACACGGUCCAGACUCCUACGGGAGGCAGCAGUGGGGAAUUUUGGACAAUGGGCGAAAGCCUGAUCCAGCCAUUCCGCGUGCAGGAUGAAGGCCCUCGGGUUGUAAACUGCUUUUGUACAGAACGAAAAGGUUUCUACUAAUACUAGGAGCUCAUGACGGUACUGUAAGAAUAAGCACCGGCUAACUACGUGCCAGCCGCCGCCGUAA